AACGAACGCUGGCGGCAUGCCUAACACAUGCGAGUCGAACGAGAUCUUCGGGUCUAGUGGCGCACGGGUGCGUAACGCGUGGGAAUCUGCCCUUUGGUUCGGAAUAACAGUUGGAAACGACUGCUAAUACCGGAUGAUGACGAAAGUCCAAAGAUUUAUCGCCAGAGGAUGAGCCCGCGUAGGAUUAGCUAGUUGGUGUGGUAAAGGCGCACCAAGGCGACGAUCCUUAGCUGGUCUGAGAGGAUGAUCAGCCACACUGGGACUGAGACACGGCCCAGACUACUACGGGGGGCAGCAGUGGGGAAUAUUGGACAAUGGGCGAAAGCCUGAUCCAGCAAUGCCGCGUGAGUGAUGAAGGCCUUAGGGUUGUAAAGCUCUUUUACCCGGGAUGAUAAUGACAGUACCGGGAGAAUAAGCUCCGGCUAACUCCGUGCCAGCCGCCGCAGUAA
rnacentral:rRNA from 1 species